AUUGAACGCUGGCGGCAGGCCUAACACAUGCAAGUCGGACGGUAGCACAGAGGAGCUUGCUCCUCGGGUGACGAGUGGCGGACGGGUGAGUAAUGUCUGGGGAUCUGCCCGAUAGAGGGGGAUAACCACUGGAAACGGUGGCCAAUACCGCAUAACGUCGCAAGACCAAAGAGGGGGACCUUCGGGCCUCUCGCUAUCGGAUGAACCCAGAUGGGAAUAGCUAGUAGGCGGGGUAACGGCCCACCUAGGCGACGAUCCCUAGCUGGUCCGAGAGGAUGACCAGCCACACUGGAACUGAGACACGGUCCAGACUCCUACGGGAGGCAGCAGUGGGGAAUAUUGCACAAUGGGCGCAAGCCUGAUGCAGCCAUGCCGCGUGUAUGAAGAAGGCCUUCGGGUUGUAAAGUACUUUCAGCGGGGAGGAAGGCGAUAAGGUUAAUAACCUUGUCGAUUGACGUUACCCGCAGAAGAAGCACCGGCUAACUCCGUGCCAGCCGCCGCCGUAA
rnacentral:rRNA from 1 species